UUUUUAAAAGAUUUAUUUUUGAUUAAGUGAUUUCAUGAUGUAACAUGGUUUUAAACAAAAAUAGAGAUCAGUAUGAAAAUAAAACAAAUUGUACACAUUAAAAUAUCUUUCCGUCAAAGCAUUUCAUAAUCAUAAAAAAUACAACACAAGAGUCGGAGGCUCAGGUGAGAAUAAGAAUACAGACUUCCCAGAAAAUGAACAACUGGCCCAUAAUCCAGUCCUCAGUGCUGUGUAACACCACUCACGAAGCGCUUCUAGGAUGCCUAUCAACAAAUUUGUGCCUUAAAAAAUGUAAAUGUACGAUAAAAUGAGGGCUGUGUAAUCUUACUUCUAAUAGCAAAUACCUCCCAUUAUUAUUGGUUACUAAAAGUUACACCGAAUAAAUACAAAGCUUGAAUCAACUCAACAAAAUCAGAAGUGUACCUAUCAACUGCGCUAUGGUAUAGUGGAUGGAAUGAGUGGGUGGAGCUGGUGAAGAGAAGUGGAAAGGCUUAAAAAAUGCACCACUGUACUCUACUGAAAUCUUAGAAAUAAAAUGUUUUUUUACAGAGCCUUAAGAUUAAAAAGUAAGCAUUAUUAUAAAAUUAGAUUAAUACUUCAGUAAGAGGCAAGAGAGAUGCAUGUGUCUUUAUUCAUUUUUUUUUUUUUGGAAUGCCUGCAUCCCUAUUAUAAAAACAUAAUCUUAUGCACUUUCUGAUGUGCUAACAGCUCUCAUAUCUUACUUAUGCUAUCACUCAAAGAAAAAUAAGCUGUAAUUACAUCUUUUAGGGCAUUAGGGUCCUAAAGAACAUUCUGUUCUGUGUAUUCCCUGGUUCACCCUUCCAAGGUGUUUCUUUUCACAGAAGGUGAUAAUUACCCGAAUUUACUGAUGAAUUCUUACACCAGUAAUAGUUGAUUCAGUUUGAAUCAUACAACAUACCUACCAACACCCCUCAGGGUUGCAAUAUCUUAAAAGAAGAUUUGAUAUGAAGAUAUCACCUGCCCAAGAUCACUAGACAUAAAAAUCAGAUACAGCUAGAGCCCUCCUGUUCUGUUGAGCUGUUUGAUCAUGAAAUGAGAAUAAAGUACCUUGAAGAUCAAAAUCUAAGCCAACAUGUCUGCUGUCUUGAUUAACUUCUUCAAUAUGAAACACUUGCUAGGCCUCCUUUUGUAAUGUAGUAAUCUCACACUUAGGAUUUUUGCUUUCCAGAUCAAUAGGGAAUGUUUAAAUCAACAUUAGAUAGUAUUUGAAUAUCUCAAAAGCUAUGCUAAUGUCAACUAUGAAAAUAAGUAUGGUGAAAUAAGAUCACUUUUUAUUUCACAAAUAGUGACUGGUAGUGGCAACAAUAACUUUCAAGUUUUUUUAAAACUAUAAUUUAAUGCAAAUUGUUGAGUUUCCUGAUUGAGCUAUGGUUAGCCUUAAAACUUUGGGACUAAAUGACAUUUUGUAAUACAGGAAAUACUAGCCAACUGAAGUCAUACAACAAGGGUAUUUCCCACCAGGUAGAUGGCCAAUCAGUGCCUUCACUAUACACAAAUGCAUUGUUCUCAAACCUCAGAAACCAAAAUGGAACACGCUCCUACCCCCACUGGCAAGGUCUAAGUCUGAUGAUGUUUGUACCAUUGUUUUAUUGUUCCCUUAGCUAUUCUGAUUGCAAAUGUGCCUUCGUUCACUCCUAAGUCAGAUUGCUGUGAUAUGGCAAACACAAUCAUUAUUCCCACAAUACCAGUUCCUUGAACAGAGCUGUUACUCCUGAAUCUCAUUACCAGGGUGAUACAACUGCCAGGCAUCUACUUUUCUACUUUUUUUUUUCUAAUUACCCCUUUAAUGGUAAUGAUUGACCUUAAAUAACAGCUCAGAAACCUUUAAUGUCUCUGGCAUUCCUUUGCUUCUGUGCUAGACAAAUUACCUGGAAAUGCAACAGAACUACGGCACUAAUAAAUUCUGGCAACUGGAAUAUGUUUCCAAGGAACAUUCCCAUUAAUAUUAAGUCAAGUCCUGUGGAAGUAGGGUAGCUGAUUCAGGAUACCACUCAACAGCUGGCCCAAAUCUCAAUGUAGCUGGGAAGUUGGGCAGGACUCUUCAAUUGCAUGUUGCUUUUAUGGGGUUGGUGAUGCCUUUUAAUGAUAAAAUGGCCUCAUUUCCUGCCCCUGGAAUUUCC
ensembl:lncRNA